AUUGAACGCUGGCGGAAUGCUUUACACAUGCAAGUCGAACGGCAGCACGGACUUCGGUCUGGUGGCGAGUGGCGAACGGGUGAGUAAUGUAUCGGAACGUGCCCAGUCGUGGGGGAUAACGUAGUGAAAAUUACGCUAAUACCGCAUACGAUCUAUGGAUGAAAGCGGGGGAUCCCAAGACCUCGCGCGAUUGGAGCGGGCGAUAUCAGAUUAGCUAGUUGGUGGGGUAAAGGCCCACCAAGCCAACGAUCUGUAGCUGGUCUGAGAGGACGACCAGCCACACUGGAACUGAGACACGGUCCAGACUCCUACGGGAGGCAGCAGUGGGGAAUUUUGGACAAUGGGCGAAAGCCUGAUCCAGCCAUUCCGCGUGCAGGAUGAAGGCCCUCGGGUUGUAAACUGCUUUUGUGCAGAACGAAAAGGUUUCUACUAAUACUAGGAGCUCAUGACGGUACUGUAAGAAUAAGCACCGGCUAACUACGUGCCAGCCGCCGCGGUAA
rnacentral:rRNA from 1 species